AGUUAUCAGGCCAUUGUCACAACGUAUCCUAAGGGACUGAAGUUUCCCCCAAAAAAAGUCUCACGGUGGAGGAAAGAGAAAGCCUGAAGCCUGUUGCCAGCUAGAAGAGGGACCUGCCUCUCAGGACACAGCACAGUGCUGCUAACUGCACAGGGAGGGAGCCGGGAGCUGAAGGUGUGCUGUGUCAGUGACAGAAUGGAAAACCAAGAUAGCAGCCCUGACAAGAUCCACCCCUGAGGAUUCUGGGAUGCCUGAUCCUGCCUCAGACUGUUCCAGUGAUGUUUCCUCAAGAGACUUGCUUCCAGAACAGCCUCAGAAAGCUGCUGACCCCAGAUGAUCUUAAUUAGUCCAGCUGUACAGACUGAGCUAGUCAGGACUUCCCUUAAGCCUGAACUUUCCCAGCAUAUAGAGACUGGACAACAAAAGCUGCCAGCUAGCUUUCUUUUGACUUAACCAUUUGUCCUGUCCUUUGAGCCCCCGAAAAGGAAUUCUUCAUCCAAAUUCAGCAGGAAGCAAUUAUCAGAAGACUUUCAUCUUAGCCCCUUAAGUCUGAUCUUUUUUGACAUCGAGGCAUAUCAGCUCCUGGCAGCAUCCCAUUCAACGUGGAGGAAGAUGAUGAACAUCAAAGGACCUCCAUUUGGAGAUGGCUUCAACUGUGGCAGGCCAGCCACUGGGCAAAGAAAAUACCCUAACUUCAUCCUCAGACAGAAUGCUAUCCAAAAAGGACAAACGGAUGCAGGGAAGUUGGUUGCCAAGCUCUGCCAAUACAGA